CAGUUUAUUUGUGUGAUAAGACAGUAAGGAGCUCUUCAUUCUGUGUAGGUGAAGAUGCGCUGUGGGGCAGGUCAGGUGAGACUGGCCUCUACGGUGGAAUGUGUUUUCCCAUCCACCUACUCCUGUAACGUCACAUGUGGACCUCAGGGUGGGACUUUGGAUGUUGGGAUGGGCAUUUGUCACUGCGAUAGGUACGUGUCAGCGGAGGAGCUGUGUAACUCUUCAUGUGUGUCCACACUGCCGGUGCUCUCUGCCAGACUGGAUACAGACGGACAGCUACUGUUGAGAAUCAAAGCCGCAGAUGAAAGCAAAACCUGGAGCAGGGAUAUGAUAAAUAUACUAGGACCUGAUGUUCAUGUCAAGAACAUAGGAAGGAUCCACUUCGUCCAGUUCGCUCCUGAGGGAGUGUUUGGUUGGAUUUUAAAAGACCCCUUGCUCGUUGAUUCUUUAGUAAGAGAACCUGUUGAAAUUCUGAAGAGUGAUUUCAGGAAGAAACGACAUGCUGAUCAGAAUGAGGUUUCCGAGCCUCUUCCACGGAUCCCAAAUCCCAUCGCAUGUCUGUCCCCAAAUGAUAUGCUCAUCUUUCAGCUCACCAUCAACCACACCGGUAUGGCUUUGUCAAAUACAGCACUAAUAAUAAAAGAUGCCUAGUGUAUGGUAUGCAUGUGUCAUGUCAUUCUGUGAUUUUAGACCGCCACUACAGUCACAUCCCAGUGUACCAGAAGGAUCACCUGUUCAGCAGUAACCCUGGCUGGGAUUUUGGGGCAUUUAGACGUCUGCAGCAUCUUGUCAAACACACACAGCUAAAUUCCAGCAGGUAAGACUAGAUAGGUAUAUCACAUGUAGCUUUCAACACAGAUAUGCAGCUGAUCUGCAUUGAUUUAUCUUGUUAGAUUUGCGCAUGUGUUCAUGGAGCCGGGAAAGUAUGUGUUCCUGGAUAACGCAGUGCCCGACUGGACUCUGAUAGUGGUUGUGAGUGAACAGGGCUCCGAGUGUAACCCCACAAUGGCUGCCUUCCAGCCGACGACUCCUGCACAGCUUGUGCGACACGGGAUUGUUAAACAACACAGCUUAAACCUGCUUCCAGACUGGGGGCUCAUCAUAGGUGAGUCAACAAUAAAAGUGGGGUGCUUUUGACA
ensembl:lncRNA